ensembl:lncRNA
UGUGGAUUAGCCUGUAUCUGUCACUGGAUCAGGGGCUGUGGGAUGGACAGACAGACAGACAGACAGACAGACAGACAGACAGACAGACAGACAGACAGACAGGUUCCCUGAGGAGAGAGGUGUUGAGGAGAGAGGUGGUGAGGAGACAGGUGUUGAGGAGAGAGAUGGUGAGGAGAGAGGUGUUGAGGAGAGAGGUGUUGAGGAGAGAGGUGGUGAGGAGAGAGGUGUUGAGGAGAGAGGUGGUGAGGAGAGAGUUGGUGAGGAGAGAGGUGUUGAGGAGAGAGGUGGUGAGGAGAGAGGUGGUGAGGAGAGAGGUGGUGAGGAGAGAGGGGUGAGGAGAGAGGGGUUGAGGAAAGAGGGGUUGAGGAGAGAGGGGUUGAGGAGAGAGAGGUGAGAGGAGGAAAUGAAAAUCAACUAAACGAAUAUGAAACAUGCAGCGCUGGCUUUGCUCUCAUGUCUUGAAAUAUUUUUCUUCUCUCACUCUUUUCUUUCUGUCACCUCAUUCUCUCCCUCUCUCUGUCUGUCACCUCAUUCUCUUCUCUUCUCUUUCUGUCACCUCAUUCUCUCCC